ensembl:ncRNA C15F1.12 ncRNA
AAAACACUAAUGAUAGUUUUAAAAAAGUGGAAUUCUACAUAAAAAAUUUUCAAGAAAUGACGGAAGAAUUUUCACAUUAGAAAUUCAAUAAAAUUGAGCAAACAA